GACGAACGCUGGCGGCGUGCUUAACACAUGCAAGUCGAACGGUGAAGCGCCUUCCUUUUUGGUGGGUGUGGAUGAGUGGCGAACGGGUGAGUAACACGUGAGUAACCUGCCCCCUUCUUCUGGAUAACCGCAUGAAAGUGUGGCUAAUACGGGAUAUUCUGGGUCUGUCGCAUGAUGGGUCUGGGAAAGAUAUUGUUUCGGUGGGGGAUGGGCUCGCGGCCUAUCAGCUUGUUGGUGGGGUGAUGGCCUACCAAGGCGGUGACGGGUAGCCGGCCUGAGAGGGUGGACGGUCACACUGGGACUGCGACACGGCCCAGACUCCUACGGGAGGCAGCAGUGGGGAAUAUUGCACAAUGGGCGGAAGCCUGAUGCAGCGACGCCGCGUGAGGGAUGGAGGCCUUCGGGUUGUGAACCUCUUUCGCCAGUGAAGCAGGCCUGCCUCGUUUGUGGGUGGGUUGACGGUAGCUGGAGAAGAAGCGCCGGCUAACUACGUG
rnacentral:rRNA from 1 species